rnacentral:rRNA from 1 species
GAUGAACGCUGGCGGCGUGCCUAAUACAUGCAAGUCGAGCGAACGGACGAGAAGCUUGCUUCUCUGAUGUUAGCGGCGGACGGGUGAGUAACACGUGGAUAACCUACCUAUAAGACUGGGAUAACUUCGGGAAACCGUAGCUAAUACCGGAUAAUAUUUUGAACCGCAUGGUUCAAAAGUGAAAGACGGUCUUGCUGUCCCUUAUAGAUGGAUCCGCGCUGCAUUAGUUAGUUGGUAAGGUAACGGCUUACCAAGGCAACGAUGCAUAGCCGACCUGAGAGGGUGAUCGGCCACACUGGAACUGAGACACGGUCCAGACUCCUACGGGAGGCAGCAGUAGGGAAUCUUCCGCAAUGGGCGAAAGCCUGACGGAGCAACGCCGCGUGAGUGAUGAAGGUCUUCGGAUCGUAAAACUCUGUUAUUAGGGAAGAACAUAUGUGUAAGUAACUGUGCACAUCUUGACGGUACCUAAUCAGAAAGCCACGGCUAACUACGUG